GAGGCCUCUCCCAGCAUAGAGUAUGAUGAUGACGAUGAUGACAAUGAGGGCAUGGAGGUCCGACUGGGCUUCAGCCUCGAGGCUGAACUUUGGUCUGCGUUAGCCUCGGCAGGCCCAUUCAUUGGCGCAGACGUACCCACGCAGGGGCUGACAGCGUCCCUAUCCGAGGCGCGGACGUCAGCCAAGUCGGACCCCAUCCUCAUAGCCAUAGAUGAGGCAUGGGCCAUGGAGGAGAGACCGCUACCCUGCCUCAGGUGCCUGCCAUGGGGAUCGUGGAGGAAAAAGUCAUCGUACCGCUCCAAGUGCCCACCACGGGGCAAAGGGGCCCAAGGAGCCGGAAGCCGAGGGUGGACGUGGAUGUCGUACCUCGGUCCGGGCACUAAGCGCCGAGCCCACAAGCCGACCUUAACCGCUACCAAUGCGGUGAAGCGCAACAUUAGGACGUCGACCAGGGCCACAUCCCGCUCCCACGUGUGGCUCGACGCUGCCAAGGAAAGGAGGCCAUCCAACAGGGUGCCGAAGCGACCCGGAUUGUCCUCAGUGGGUAGGCCGGGUAGGAUGCUACUGUCGCAGAGGCGGCCAUGGCCCCUCCGGCGCCACUGGUCGAGGCCAUCCUAGUGAUCUCUACCGAGGAGGCGGCGGGGGUGGCAGACGCAACGUCGACCAUGGCAUCGCCCACCGUCUCAGACCUCCUACGCGGCAUCCCCGACACCCCAGAUGCCACCCGGAGCCCCGAGGCGGCUAACUUCGAGGGGGCCCAGUCCCUCGAGGCGACCUGGGGAAUCAGUCGAGGAGCAUAUCAUCCCACCCCCAUCAUCGGGGUGGGUGGUGACCUUGUUCGCGCUGGACUAUACCUCUCGACGUGGGAAGGGCCGACCGUGACAUAGAUGGCACUGAGGGCAACCCCUACUUCGUCCUCGAUGACGCAAAGGAGAAGUAGAUGUGGUCAGAAUUCCGAACAAUAGAUCGGGGGCUUAUGCGAAGUCCGCGACCAAGUCGAUUUUCAUUCAUCGUGAGCGCGACGUCUGGGCCGUGUUGCAACACCAUCAGGCCAUGUAUUGUCGUUCAAACGAACAACUGGCUUUGAAGAGUGUCGAGGCGAUGGACCUU